rnacentral:rRNA from 1 species
GUCUGGUGCCAGCAGCCGCGGUAAUUCCAGCUCCAAUAGCGUAUAUUAAAGUUGUUGCAGUUAAAAAGCUCGUAGUUGAACCUUGGGCCUGGUUGGCCGGUCCGCCUCACCGCGUGCACUGGUCCGACCGGGUCUUUCCUUCUGGGGAGCCGCAUGCCCUUCGCUGGGUGUGUCGGGGAACCAGGACUUUUACUUUGAAAAAAUUAGAGUGUUCAAAGCAGGCCUAUGCUCGAAUACAUUAGCAUGGAAUAAUAGAAUAGGACGCGUGGUUCUAUUUUGUUGGUUUCUAGGACCGCCGUAAUGAUUAAUAGGGAUAGUCGGGGGCGUCAGUAUUCAAUUGUCAGAGGUGAAAUUCUUGGAUUUAUUGAAGACUAACUACUGCGAAAGCAUUCGCCAAGGAUGUUUUCAUUAAUCAGUGAACGAAAGUUAGGGGAUCGAAGACGAUCAGAUACCGUCGUAGUCUUAACCAUAAACUAUGCCGACUAGGGAUCGGGCGAUGUUAUCUUUUUGACUCGCUCGGCACCUCACGAGAAAUCAAAGUCUUUGGGUUCU